UUAGAUUUCCACGACCUGUGAGGAAGAACAACUGAAACGAAGAAAAAUCAAAAUCGCUUGAAGGAGCUCUGUAGGCUCGUAAUGGCAUCUUCGAAGUUCCUUGUUUUAUCGGUAUUCUUACUCCUCAUUUUCACGAAAACCACGGCCGAUGCAGAGACACAUGGUGAAAAUAUUGCAUCAGAGGUCUCCGAUUCGUCCCUGAAGAUCGAAUUGGAGCAGGUCAAGGCGAAGAUCUCUGUUCUGGAAUCUAGCAUUGAAGAGAAAACCCGAGAGUUGAAGAGCAAGGAUGAGAGCAUUGCUCAGAUGAAGAAGACCAUCCAGGAGAAGUCAGAUGGCAUUGUAUCAUUACAAAAUGAUAUAGAUUCACUCAAGAAAAAAGGUACUGUAGAUGCUGAGGAGCAGAUGGGGAAAGCACAUGCAUGGGCUGGUGAACUUGAGAAGCAGGUUGAGAAGCUUAAAAGAGAUCUCGAAGCACAGAAAAAUAAUAAAGAUACUUUGGAUGUGCGAGCAAGUGAAGCUGAAAAGAAAAUUGAUGUACUGAUUUCGAAAAUAGAAAAUCUCCAGAAGAUUAAUGAUGAACAGAAGACCAGAAUUCACAAAACUGAACGCGCUCUUCAAGUUGCUGAGGAGGAGAUGAUGAAGACAAAGUUUGAGGCCAAUUUGAAGAUCAAAGAGUUGAUGGAGGUUCAUGGUGCAUGGCUUCCCCCUUGGCUUGCAGGUCAUUUAGUUCAUUUUCAGUCUGUUGUGGCAGAACACUGGAAUGGGCAUGGGAAACCAGCAAUGGACAUUGUGGUCAAAAAGGCAUUGGAGAAAAAAGCUCAAGCUCAGAACUGGGCUGAACCCCAUAUUGAAUUGGUUAAAAGUAGAUGGAUCCCAACUCUGAAGGAACAAUGGUUGACAAUUACAACACAUGUUGAACCACGCAUCCAAUUAUUAACCAAGAGAAGCAUGAAGUUCUAUGAGACAUCUAAAAGCACCAUAGCACCAUAUGUGGUUAAAGUACAAGAAUUUGCUGAUCCUUACUUUCAGGACGCCAAGAAGUUUACCAAACCGUACAUCGAUCAGGUUGCCACUGCAGCAAAACCUCAUGUUGAUAAAGUGCGGGUUGCCUUGAAACCAUAUACGAAAAAGGUAGUUCACAGUUAUGGCAAAUUCCUUGAGUCAGCAACCACUCACCACCGCCAGGUUCAAGAUUCUGUACGGGAAACACUGAAAAAGCAUGAAUUAACGAGACAUCUUGCAACUAAAGAGCUGGUGUGGUUUGCGGCCUCUGCUUUACUAGCUCUUCCAAUAAUAAUCCUAACCAGACUGCUUUCAGGCACUUUUGGUGGGAAGGCAAAGAAAUCUGCUCGGAAUGCGCAUACUGGCCAGACACGCCGUAGAGCUAAACGGGGCCAUCCUGACAAGUAGAGUACCGUGGGUAUUGGGAUGUAGAUUCUUUAUUGCAUGUCAAAUUCAAGGGGGGUAUUCUAUCUUUUCUACUCUUCCUCAACAUCAGCUUAGUUGCAGAAAGAGCAUAGCUUCCAUAGUGGUGAAAAACUUCCAAUUCCAUCAAACCUUGAGGGCUGCUUGAUAAAAAACUCUGGAGGAUACGUGAUAUUUGACUUGUAUGAUGUAGGAAAAAUAUGCGAGUUAAUGAGAGGAAAAGACGAGGGGAAGAGUGGAAAAUUUUGUUCUCUUUGAUAUUGCUCUUGAUAACAGUCCACAUAUAAUCUGCCUUUUGAGAUUUGUUGUAGACUUUAAAUUCUUCUGACUUAUUUUUUACACACAGGAUACAUUAGUGAAGUUUU